CGUAGACUAUUUGUUUUCAGUUUUCUAAUUGAUGAUAUUUUGUCUACUUUUUUUGGCGAAUGCUUUUCAAUCAAAUUUAGUUUAUAUUUGAGUUAACUUGAUUCAAUGAGUAUGAAUUACAUGAAGGGAACUGUUUAGCACUUCUGUGGAUACUAUUUGGACUUGGGAUUCCUGUACGAAUUUGCUUUGUAUUUGGAGUAUCCGCGUUUUUGGAUUUAUGUAGCGCUUAAAAUAUCAGCUAUUAUCGCUACUACGAUUAUUGAUUGGCCCAUUCUUCUCCAUUUGUGGCACCUAGCUUGUGGGCCGAAGCCAACAAAGAAGGAACAGACUGCACGUGCGAGCCAUGCAGUUUCUUCUCUUCCUACGCUAUCUUAAGGAGGUCAUUAAGGGGCAGUCAACCAAACAAAAGUGCUUUGCGGGAUUGCUUUUUAAGGAGAAAAUAUUUCGUCUAGACACCACGCACCCAGACGAC